rnacentral:rRNA from 1 species
GACUUGAAAGAUGGUGAACUAUGCAUAAUACAUGAGUGGGACGAAGCCAGAGAAAACUAUGGUGAGAGCCCGCAACAAUACCGACGUGCAAAUCGUUUGUAUGACUUGAGUAUAAGAGCGAAAGAUUAAUCGAAUCGUCUACUAGUUGG